rnacentral:rRNA from 2 species
UCAGGUGGUUAUAACGUUGGGGAUCCACCUCUUCCCAUUCCGAACAGAGAAGUUAAGCCCAACGGUGCCGAUGGUACUGCGUAAUAGUGGGAGAGUAGGACGCCGCCGUUU